rnacentral:lncRNA from 1 species
GUAAAAUACGCCAUGGAGGCGGAGGGACGGUGGCUAACACUUUCGCCCGCCCCGUGCACGCGAUCGCUGGGGAGCUGGGGUCGCUGCGCUCCCGGCCUGCAGUUACCUGGUCCAGCGGGAUGCCCAGGAGCUCGCUGAGCGGGUGCAGGUAGGUGGAGCCCGUGGUGCGGUAGGAAAGGCUGGACGGCUGCGGCUCUGCUGCCAUCCUGCAUCUUCGGGAGGUGGCUGCCCCUGUCCCAGCCCGCAACACCCCCUGCUCGGCGUCCUCCCGCCCGGGUGCUCUUGGGUGGUUGCCCCGAGAGGCGCACGGCCGCCUGGUUCGCGGGGGAGCGAACGGGAGGCCGGGGAAUGCGAACCGGCGCAAACUCUCGAGGCGCAAACUCUCGAGGCGCAAACUUGGC